UGGGGAAUUUUGGACAAUGGGCGAAAGCCUGAUCCAGCAAUGCCGCGUGUGUGAAGAAGGCCUUCGGGUUGUAAAGCACUUUUGUCCGGAAAGAAAUCCUUGGCUCUAAUACAGUCGGGGGAUGACGGUACCGGAAGAAUAAGCACCGGCUAACUACGUGCCAGCAGCCGCGGUAAUACGUAGGGUGCAAGCGUUAAUCGGAAUUACUGGGCGUAAAGCGUGCGCAGGCGGUUUGCUAAGACCGGAUGUGAAAUCCCCGGGCUCAACCUGGGAACUGCAUUGGCUGACUGGCAGGCUAGAGUAUGGCAGAGGGGGGUAGAAUUCCACGUGUAGCAGUGAAGUGCGUAGAGAUGUGGAGGAAUACCGAUGGCGAAGGCAGCCCCUGGGCCAAUACUGACGCUCAUGCACGAAAGCGUGGGGAGCAAACAGGAUUAGAUACCCUGGUAGUCCACGCCCUAAACGAUGUCAACUAGUUGUUGGGGAUUCAUUUCCUUAGUAACGUAGCUAACGCGUGAAGUUGACCGCCUGGGGAGUACGGUCGCAAGAUUAAAACUCAAAUGGAAUUG
rnacentral:rRNA from 1 species